UUCUCAGGCUGAUGGAGUGAGUGACGGCAUGGGUUGCCAACUAUAGUUAUUCCGCUCAGUACAGAAUGCCUGUGGGGAGUAGAAUCAGGCAUGCCCAAAACAGUCUUCCCAGGGCAAAACAAAUACCUUUGAGGU
rfam:Pteropus vampyrus cont1.329, whole genome shotgun sequence.